rnacentral:rRNA from 1 species
ACGGAAGGCAGCAGUGUGGAAUAUUGGGCAAUGGACGAAAGUCUGACCCAGCGACGCCGCGUGAAGGAAGAAGGCCCUCGGGUUGUAAACUUCAGUCAACAGGGAAGAAACAAAUGACGGUACCUGUGGAGGAAGCCACGGCUAACUACGUGCCAGCAGCCGCGGUAAUACGUAGGUGGCGAGCGUUAUCCGGAUUUACUGGGUGUAAAGGGUGUGUAGGCGGGUUUGCAAGCCAGAUGUGAAAAUUAUGGGCUUAACUCAUAACUUGCAUUUGAAACUGUAGAUCUUGAGUGUCGGAGAGGUAAAUGGAAUUCCCAGUGUAGCGGUGAAAUGCGUAGAUAUUGGGAGGAACACCAGUGGCGAAGGCGGUUUACUGGACGAUUACUGACGCUGAGACACGAAAGUGUGGGGAGCAAACAGGAUUAGAUACCCUGGUA